rnacentral:rRNA from 1 species
UACAGAGGUCCCGAGCGUUGUUCGGAUUCACUGGGCGUAAAGGGUGCGUAGGCGGUCGGAUAAGUUUGAUGUGAAAUCUCCGGGCUUAACCCGGAAACUGCAUUGAAUACUAUUCGGCUUGAGGUCUGGAGGGGGGACUGGAAUUCUCGGUGUAGCAGUGAAAUGCGUAGAUAUCAGGAGGAACACCGGUGGCGAAGGCGGGUCUCUGGGCCGUAACUGACGCUGAGGAGCGAAAGCAUGGGGAGCGAACAGG